CACUUCUAUAAAGCCAGGCCCGCCAGCCCUGGGUGGCUCCUUCAGCCCCUGAGACCUUUAACCCCCCUGUUGUGAGACAAAAAGAAAACUGUGCGCUGGCCGCACCAUCCACCUCCAGGGCUUCCCACCUCCCCAAGCUGAUCCUGUCCCCAGGAAACGCUGAUCCCAGUCCCCACCCAGCCCGGCACUGCCAUCCUCCUCCUGUCGAUGCUGGGCUGUCCUGGGAGUGGGACCCUGCGGUGCGUGACCCUCUGUGUGUGGCUCAGCUCCCUGAGCUGCGUGACCUCGAGGUGCAUCCGUGCUGUGGCAGAUGCCAGGAUUUCCUUUUUUCUCUUUUCUGUUCUGGUGCUAUGGAUGGGACCCACGGGCACAAGCCUAUUGAACUACAUCCCUUGACCUCUAUAUUUUUAUCCAGAGACAGGAUCUUCCUAGACUGCACAAGCUGGUCAAGCUUGAGACCCUCCUACUUGUGCUUCCCAAGAAUGCUGGGAUUACAGUUGUGUGCCAGUCAUUCCUUUUUUUUCCAAAUAAUAAAGCCCAAGAUGUCUGACUGGCCAAGCAGUUCUCUGGCUGCCUAGA